GCAAGCGUUAAUCGGAAUUACUGGGCGUAAAGCGCACGCAGGCGGUUUGUUAAGUCAGAUGUGAAAUACCCCGGGCUCAACCUGGGAACUGCAUCUGAUACUGGCAAGCUUGAGUCUCGUAGAGGGGGGUAGGAAUUCCAGGUGUAGCGGUGAAAUGCGUAGAGAUCUGGAGGAAUACCGGUGGCGAAGGCGGCCCCCUGGACGAAGACUGACGCUCAGGUGCGAAAGCGUGGGGAGCAAACAGGAUUAGAUACCCCUGGUAG
rnacentral:rRNA from 1 species